ACUUUUUUUCCUAAGUCAAGUGAGUUAAUGAUUAUGGAUCUCAGCUUGUAAAUGCCAAAGUCCAUUUAUUUCAUUCUGAAAGAACUCUGUAUGAACUCCUGAAUUUCUGUUGUCUGGGUGAUCUAACUUUCAUACUUAAUGUCUUUUUUUUUUUUCCUUUUGCCAGUGAAGCAACUGACCCUUCUGACACAUGGAACUGCAAAAUUCUUAAAUAAAACAGGAAGUUAAGAACUGAUCUGAACCUUCUGGCCUAGGCUCUUAUCUCAAACUGAACAGCAGGAAAGCUAUUUUAUUCUGAAGACAACUGUUGUUUCUAAGCAAGGAGAAGAAGAAGAAGUAUAGAGAAGAAACAAAUGCCCUUAAAUACAUGCUUUUGUAAUGCAGAGCAGUGUGGUCAUAUGGGCACAACCCUUCUUCUGGCUAGGAAAAGAGACAAAACAAAAAACAUGACAUUGAAACUCAGUUCACUGCAGACCAAGGACAUCAAGGAAAGCAGCACAAACCCACAACAAGCAUGCCAAAAUAGAAAGAGCUUGUUCAAGCCAGAGAUGAGACAAUCCACUUGUUAUACUUUGCAAACAUUAGACUCUACAAGUAUUUUCUCAGUGUAAAGAGAAGGUAAGAAAGCAGUAAAGACUGAGGAAGGUGUCCAGGUUAAUCAGGAGAGUCUCAGAGCUGCAAGAUGUUGCUUGUUUUUACUAGAAGACUGGAUUCAACAAGACAGACUUCCUAGCAAAACACAAGUCCUAAAACAGAUUGCUUGCAAGCUGCCCCCAGAGAAAUGCCACUGUGCGUUUUGUCCAGUCUUGCUCAUGUAGUACCUUCUCUCCUCAGGCAGCUCUAGCCUUUCAUUUUAGGCAGGUGGAUGUGCAGUUUCUGGCACCCACUGAAGCCACUGAGGCAUUGGCCUUCUAUGACCCAGGGACCAGUGUCAUGCUGGUUUGAAGACUGAUACAACACAACACAGUUCCACUACAGUUGCCACUUACCACUUUCUGCAUGGGUGCUAAGUGAGCCCUCAAGCUGCUUGGAGGUGGGGAAGAAAAAAAAGAUAGUCAAGUGUAGGAGACAAACCAGCUUACACUCCAGCGUGCACUACAAUUGAGAUCUGACUGCCAGCUCCUUUAUAAAGGAAAUCAUUCAGGUUUGGGUAAUUUCAUCACAGCCUAAUAUCAAACAAGGCAAUUAAUAAAUAGCCCUGAUAUUAACAAUUAUUAAAGAAGGCAAAUAAACAGUUUUAUCUUAAUCAGUUACAUGCACAAAUAUGUACUAACAGCCUUUAUUGAUAGGAAUGGGACUGUAUUCUAAAUCCCUGACAUUUUGCUGAUGAACCGAUAGCUUAUGAGAUCUUUAUUAGGAACUUAAAAAAAAAAAAAAAAAGCAUAUUUCACAGUGCAUUUUUACACGCAGUUCUCUUUAGUUUAAUUAACUAAAAUUCAGUAUUUAUUUCCUCCUAUUUACUGUAUUUCAACAACCUAAUGACGCUCUUCCAUUUUUUAUUUAUUUUUUACUUUUUGUUUUUUUUUCCAUCAUAACUGUUCUGGCUAAGUAUUUGGUGUUUUUAGGAAAAGCACAGGAGAGGACAGCCCAGAAAGAAAAAGCUAUGAAGUGGAAGCAAAAUUAACACAAAUUCAUCUAGAAUCUGUAUACUAUACAUGAUCAUAUUAUUUAUAGUUUGAAAAAAACAAAGGUAUUACUCAUGUUUAAAAUCCUUUAACAUCAGUAAGGGAAUAUAUGUGAGUGUAUAUGGGAUGUGAGCAUGAGUAUCCAUGUAUGCCUAUGGAAAGGUAGAUAGCAAGAGAGAUGCACAUCUCAAAGGUGGAAGGAGGGAAGAUCUGAUAAAAACAGUUUGGCUGGACUUUUCUUUUUCCAGAUACAAAUUUAAUUUGUAAGGGAACCCUGUUUCUGCUGGUAGGGAAUAAGACAUAUGAAUCUAUAAGGAACCUGGAGUUAUUUGAAGCCGGUCUGAAUCCAAACAGUUACCACUAGGGAAUGACAAAUGAUCAUUUCUGCAUUAAGAUAGUGCUUUCUUUCACAGUAAAACAGCCAGUAGCAUUUUCACGUACAUGAUAACAUAGGAAGCAGCUUUUGUAACGGAGAUGACCUGCAUUUUCUCCACGGCACAUCAGUUUGUAUUCUGACGAAUCCAGUCAUAAAGUGCUGUCACCUUAGUGUAUACACCAGGACGAUUGCGUCGGGCACAUCCUUCACCCCAGCUCACAAUGCCAGCAAGAAUUAGCACACUACGUGACACAAUGCAAAGGCAAGAGGAAGAAAAAUUACUCCCCGCUGGUGUCCUGUUACUACAGGAUUCAUAAAGCAACUCUUCGUAAGCUGAGCGGGGAGAAGAAAAGACAGGGAUGGAAAGGGAACUCUACUACCACUAAUCUGUUCUCAGACUGAAAACAAAACUUUCAUGAUGUUAAACAGGAAUAGAAGGAUAGCAAGAAUAGUGUGGUUAGGUAUUAGCAGCUUCAUUUUCAAGUCUGCAGCCCAUUUGUAGAGUGAGGGAAAGGAACAAAGACUCUAAGGGAUAUGCAGGUAAGAGCUGGCUUCUCAAAGAGAACAUUCUGGUUUGUAUAACAUAGAAAAUUAAAGAUUCCAGUUUAGUUCAGUGCACAAGGUCACAACACAUUUGAGCUCAAAAAUGCUUUGUGACCUUCACUGCACACCUUCAGUGAACAGAUAGUUCACAGAACUCCAAACAGUUUAUUAAUACAGCUGAUAUCUUCAGACUCUCCUAAUGUAUACAAGGCAGUUAACAGCCUCCAAAUUGAGCCAGAACAGUUAACCCUCUCUAAGGGUGCUGAUAUACUGGCAAUUUGGAUUAUCAAAGAGGCUGAUCUAGAGGCAACUUGAGAAAGGAGUCUAUAUAUUCUAACCAGUUAUACAGCUGCUUGUGAAAGACAGAAGGAGCUGUGUGAACGUAGAAAGAGGAAGGGUCCUGGAAAGAGGAACCAUGUAAAACCAAAGAACACCCAACAGUGAUAAGAUAACUAAGCCAGAAAGAACAUACACUAUUUCUCAUGGUAACUAUCACAUCAGCUAAAGAUGAAAGCUGUUUGGACAAUUCAGAUGAACUGUGAAUGGACUACACAGGUUAUAAUGACCAUGAAGAAAUAAAAGAAAUCAGAAUGCCAACAAGGCUUGAAUUGUAAUACAAUGGUUUUCAGGGUCCUCUAGGAAUUUCCUGAACUUCAAUGUCAUUCAUCUCUAGCACUGCACAGGAAACAUGUUUGAGACAGAAGAAAAAAAAAUAAUAAAUCUGUUACAGACAAAGAAGUUAAAGACCCAGAGAGCCAGCACACUGGGACACAACAUAGCAUAUUGUAUUGGAAACUGGAUUAAACAGUACAGUCUAUAGCAAAUUCAGUUAAAAUACCCAUCUAAAAAUCUAAGGGCACAUUUUAUGCAACACAUUUUGGGGGAACUUUAAGCCUUAGGUGUAUUACAACAUGUUUAAACAAAACAAUUCUAAGGUUUAAGAUUAUACAUAAACAGAACAUUAAGUCAACAAAAAUAAUGCUUCACUGAAUAAGAACCUGAAGACUACAAGAGGAUCCUACUACAGUCCAUUGUGUAUAAAGAAGUUUGACCCAUUAAGAGUUACAUACUGUAAAAAAUAACCUAUUGCAUUAAAACAGUAAACUUUGUAUAUUAUACAAAAGUUCUAUCAAAUUACUACUGUCCAAACUCAGUAACAUGUUUUUCUCCUUUUACUAAGAAUCUGGAAAAUUGACUGUGUUUGUAAUUCAGAAAGCAGAUAUUCGUCAUAGUAAAAUUAAAUACUGAUAAAUAGCACAAACAAUCUAACAACUAGGAAGGAAAAAGAAGAGUUAAGAUGGUUGCAGAAUGUCCAAAGGACAGUUUCUGAUUGUGUGCACAGAUAAACUAGGUCAUAUAACUCAUGAUACCAUGAUGUAAUCAAAACUCAUUAUACGCAUGAAUAAACACAUGAAAGAAAGAGGCAGCACUUCACUUGCAUUUACCAAAUUCACCUUUUGCAUUACAUGUUUGUUUGCAACUGUUAACAGUGUAUUUCUCAGACUGCUACAAUCCCAACACCCACAUAUAAAAAAAAGGAAAAAAAAAUCAACAUAAA